rnacentral:rRNA from 1 species
UUCCGGUUGAUCCUGCCGAAGGCUACUGCUAUUGGAGUUCGAUUAAGCCAUGCGAGUCUAAGGGGUACUUGUACCCCUGGCAUAAUGCUCAGUAACACGUGGAUAAUCUACCCUUAGGUGGGGCAUAAACCCGGGAAACUGGGGCUAAUACCCCAUAGAUACAGAAGGCUGGAAUGCCUCUGUAUUCAAAGCUCCGGCGCCUAAGGAUGAGUCUGCGACCUAUCAGGUAGUAGUCAGGGUCACGACCUGACUAGCCAACGACGGGUACGGGGUGUGAGAGCACUUGCCCGGAGAUGGUUUCUGAGACACGAAACCAGGCCCUACGGGGCGCAGCAGGCGCGAAAACUUCGCAAUGCGGGAAACCGUGACGAGGGAACUCCAAGUGUCUAUGCAAUGCAUAGACUGUUUUUCAGCCUAAAUAGCUGUUAGAGUAAGGGGUGGGUAAGACCGGUGCCAGCCGCCGCGGUAACACCGGCACCCCGAGUGGUAGCCACUAUUAUUGGGCCUAAAGCGUUCGUAGCCGGUUUAGUAAAUUCUUGGGUAAAUCGUACAGCUUAACUGUGCGGAUUCCGGGGACACUACUAGACUUGAGACCGGGAGAGAUUAGAGGUACUUGCAGGGGAGCGGUGAAAUGUUGUAAUCCUGCAGGGACCACCAGUGGCGAAGGCGUCUAAUCAUAACGGCUCUGACGGUGAGGAACGAAACCCUGGGGCGCAAACGGGAUUAGAUACCCCGGUAGUCCAGGGCGUAAACGCUGCUGACUUGGUGUUGGAGAUCCUACGAGGGUGUCCAGUGCUGGCGCGAAGGUAUUAAGUCAGCCGCCUGGGGAGUACGGUCGCAAGACUGAAACUUAAAGGAAUUGGCGGGGGAGCACUGCAACGUGUGGAGCGUGCGGUUUAAUUGGACUCAACGCCGGAA